rnacentral:rRNA from 1 species
UACGGAGGGAGCAAGCGUUACUCGGAAUUAUUGGGCGUAAAGGGCGCGUAGGCGAUUUGAAAAGUCUUGUGUGAAAGCCCCGGGCUUAACCCGGGAAGUGCACAAGAAACUGUUGAAUUUGAGUUCCGGAGAGGCAAGAGGAAUUCCACGUGUAGCGGUGAAAUGCGUAGAGAUGUGGAGGAACACCUGUGGCGAAGGCGCCUUGCUGGCCGAUUUCUGACGCUGAGGCGCGAAAGCGUGGGGAGCAAACAGG